GAUGAACGCUGGCGGCGUGCCUAAUACAUGCAAGUCGAGCGAACGGACGAGAAGCUUGCUUCUCUGAUGUUAGCGGCGGACGGGUGAGUAACACGUGGAUAACCUACCUAUAAGACUGGGAUAACUUCGGGAAACCGGAGCUAAUACCGGAUAAUAUUUUGAACCGCAUGGUUCAAAAGUGAAAGACGGUCCUGCUGUCACUUAUAGAUGGAUCCGCGCUGCAUUAGCUAGUUGGUAAGGUAACGGCUUACCAAGGCAACGAUGCAUAGCCGACCUGAGAGGGUGAUCGGCCACACUGGAACUGAGACACGGUCCAGACUCCUACGGGAGGCAGCAGUAGGGAAUCUUCCGCAAUGGGCGAAAGCCUGACGGAGCAACGCCGCGUGAGUGAUGAAGGUCUUCGGAUCGUAAAACUCUGUUAUUAGGGAAGAACAUAUGUGUAAGUAACUGUGCACAUCUUGACGGUACCUAAUCAGAAAGCCACGGCUAACUACGUGC
rnacentral:rRNA from 1 species